rnacentral:rRNA from 1 species
UACAGAGGUCUCAAGCGUUGUUCGGAUUCAUUGGGCGUAAAGGGUGCGUAGGCGGCGCGGUAAGUCGGGUGUGAAAUCUCGGAGCUUAACUCCGAAACUGCAUUCGAUACUGCCGUGCUUGAGGACUGGAGAGGAGACUGGAAUUUACGGUGUAGCGGUGAAAUGCGUAGAUAUCGGGAGGAACACCAGUGGCGAAGGCGGUUGCCUGGAGCUUUGCUGACGCUGAUGCGCGAAAGCGUGGGGAGCGAUCCGG